rnacentral:rRNA from 1 species
UAACACGUGGGCAACCUGCCCUGAAGCGGGGGAUAACAUCUGGAAACAGGUGCUAAUACCGCAUAACAACGAAAACCACAUGGUUUUCGUUUCAAAGAUGGUUUCGGCUAUCACUUCAGGAUGGGCCCGCGGUGCAUUAGCUAGUUGGUAAGGUAACGGCUUACCAAGGCAAUGAUGCAUAGCCGAGUUGAGAGACUGAUCGGCCACAAUGGAACUGAGACACGGUCCAUACUCCUACGGGAGGCAGCAGCG